AACAUGCAGCUUGUGCAGGGUGUGUGUGCACCUACAAGAAAACACAGCAGUGUGGAUCAGCCUGAGCUGACCAGGUCUACAGGUUUGGUUCCAUGUUUCUAAAGUGUAACAGAAACACAAACAAUAUGGCUGCUUCAAUAUCUUCUUCCUUUAGUGGUUCUCAUUAAAGGGGCAGUGUUAGGUGUUUUUGUUAUACAAAUUAUAAAAAUGCUGCAAAUAUGGCUUAAAAGACAUUUGACUUUGUAAUGUGUUUUGAUGAGGGAAUAAUAUUUUGACAUGUUGUAAGGCUCAAAAAAGUGGAUUUUACAUAACACUGCCCCUUUAAUAGAAGUGGAGUUCUAUAAAACACAUGAACUGAAUCUGUGUACAACACAAACCCUAAGAUGUGACCACCUACAGCUGAAUUUGGUUUAAAUUAUGAAUGUUAUUGUUACAUUUAGCAUUUUUGGCCCAUAGAUCUUCAUCAGUGCUGAUAAAGUUCAUUCUGGAUAAACAGAUACACAACAUGCUAAUCCAAAACCAGCCUAAAUAAAGACCUCCAUUUUGAUCCCAUAAAACUUUACCUGUGCAACCUGUAAACAUUUUAAAGCUCUGCAUUUUUAAUUUUCUCAUUGCUCAGAUGUGAAUGUGCAAAAGCAUCAGAUACAUGUCGAUUCAUUUUGUUAAUCUCUUAGGAGAAUUUGUAGCAAAUUCUAAUAGGACAAGGAAACCUCAAGUCUUCAUGUUUUCUUCCUCUGUUUCCCGUUCAGUGUUCACCACAGUGAAUCAUCCGUUUCCAUCAGGUCAAUUCAGGUCACUUAUAUACCGUCAACUCACAACUUAUAUCCUCUCAGGAUGUUUGACAAGAUGAACAGCAGUAGAAAAAAUUGUGCAAAAGAGACUAAUAUGGCGACAAAGGGUCAUCAGUUGGUAGAUUUCCAGAAUGAUUUCCAGAAAUUAUGAAGUAUCAAAGCUAAGUACUGACUUAUAAGCUAUGAUUUUU